UCCGGUAACAGUACCAGUCUGAAAGUACUGAUCUCGUCAGAUCUCAGAAGCCAUCCAGACUUGGGCCUGGUUAGUACUUGUAUGGGAGACCAACUAGGAACCUCAGGUGCCUGGGA
rnacentral:rRNA from 1 species